rnacentral:rRNA from 1 species
ACUCCUACGGGAGGCAGCAGUGGGGAAUAUUGCACAAUGGGGGAAACCCUGAUGCAGCCAUGCCGCGUGUGUGAAGAAGGCCUUGGGUUGUAAAGCACUUUCAGUAGGGAGGAAGGUAGUGUAGUUAACACCUGCAUUAUUUGUACGUUACCUACAGAAGAAGCACCGGCUAACUCCGUGCCAGCAGCCGCGGUAAGUACGGAGGGUGCGAGCGUUAAUCGGAAUUACUGGGCGUAAAGCGCAUGCAGGCGGCCUGUUAAGUCAGAUGUGAAAGCCCGGGGUCUUAACCUCGGAAUUGCAUUUGAAACUGGCAGGCUAGAGUCUUGUAGAGGGGUUAGAA